UGACAGUGACAAAAAGGAAGCAGCCUUCUCUAGCCCACCCAAGUUUCCAUCAAAGGAGCAAGCCUAUGUCAGUAAGAAGAAAGCUGGCUAACCCUCCCACCCCUUGUUUAACUCCUCCAGCCCAUCCCACAUCAUUGUAGAGUGAAGAGACUGCGGUUAAUAUUCAGAAAGAGGCGCAGAGAACUGAAGGCUUUCCUGACUUGACACCGAAUAAUAACGAAGGCCUGUGUGCUUUGCAGCAGCCUCCACGUCACCCUCUUCCAGUGCUCCGUCAGAGGACUAACGAUAUGCCACAAGAUGAUUGGCACCAAGACACACCCAGUGAUGAAGGGAUGUGCUCUCCUUAAAUCACAGCCUAUUCAUCAGGUACUCCUGAGUGCUGUGUUAAGAAAUCCUGCCUACAAAGUUCCACUGAGGCUGAUAUAAAGAUGACUGUGAGAAACUGGGUGCGGCUGUCUGAGCAGAGACAGGAAUGGGGGCAGCAAAGGCGGGACAAGCAAGCAUCUUAAGUGAAAUAAUUGAUUGGACUGAUUCUGGAGUAUGACUUAUUCUGGAGGGAAUUUCUUAUUUUUGUUGCAGUUUGCUAUGGGACGGUUUCAAGGACAGGGAUUAGACUAGUUCUAGACUAAAAUAAAUGUAAGAGCUGUCCAAACUGAAAACAACUUGCACUGACAUAUCAUAAAAUACAUCAGUGUCUUUUGUGAUGCUUCAAAAUGCACACAAGUAAUGUUUUUAUUAAGACAUGUUAUUAAAACUAGUUAUAUUUCAGAGUUAAACUAAGGCCUAGUCCCGGUUUAAGAUAAUCCCUGUCCGGGAAACCACCCCAAAGUGUAAUUUGUGGAGUGUUAAAAUAAAUGAAACUGCCUUUGCAAAAACAAAGUAAAAAAAAAAUUCCAGAUGCCCUUCUGUUUUGUUAUUUCUCCUGGAAAACUCACUGAUCCAUUUUUUUCUGUUAGACUGACAUUUACCAGGUUGUCAUAUUGUGUAUGAAAUACACCCUACACAUAACAAUCACUGACUUUCAAUUUAAACUUUUUUUGUCAUAAAACCUGGCAACUCAAAAGGAAGCGGCUGCAGACUGCGCAGCCACGGACGGAGUCUUGCAUGCAAGUGGGCUAGUUGCCUACUUCUCCACUAGCUCUUGUCAAAUUGUUAGGGAAGAAAUUUUAUGAUUAACACAACAUAAACUGUUAUUGAGGGUUGAUUGUUGUUGAUACACAAUAUGAAAUGAGUUAGCCUGCAGGGGUCUCCAACAUUGUGAGCAAGGGCUACAACAAUAUGUAUAAAACAAUCUGGAGGGCUACUUUUUUAUUUAUUCUACUCAGAACUUUUUUGUUUUACUUACUGAUUUUAUUUUAUUUUUGAUAUGUUUUAGUAUUGUUUAAUAUGUUAACAUACGUAAACCAAGCCAAGUUAAUAUAAAACAUAUGUAUGUAAUAAAUAAAUAUUACAAUUGA